rnacentral:rRNA from 1 species
GGGGGGACCACCCUCCAACCCUAAAUACUACCCAGUGACCGAUAGCGUAUAGUACUGUGAAGGAAAGGUGAAAAGCACCCCGGGAGGGGAGUGAAAAAGAACCUGAAACCCUGUGCCUACAAGCACCUAGAGCACGUCAAUGUGUGAUAGGGUACUUUUUGUAGAACGGUCCGGCGAGCGAUUGUAUGCAGCAAGGUUAAGGACUUAAGGUCUGGAGCCGAAGCGAAAGCGAGUUUGAAAAGGGCGUUAAGUUGCAUACAAUGGGCCCGAAACCGGGUGACCUACCCAUGGUCAGGUUGAAGUGGAAGUAAAAUUCCAUGGAGGACCGAACCGACCUCCGUUGAAAAGGCGGCGGAUGAACUGUGGGUAGCGGAGAAAUUCCAAUCGAACCCGGAGAUAGCUGGUUCUCCCCGAAAUAGUUUUAGGACUAGCCUCAAGUUAGAUACCUGGAGGUAAAGCACUGAAUAGCCUAGCGGCCGAGAGGUUAGCGAAGCUUAUCAAACUCAGAAUGCCAGAGUAUUGAUGCUUGGGAGUCAGACAGUGUCAGAUAAAUGUCAUUGUCAAAAGGGAAACAGCCCAGAUCUACAGCUAAGGUCCCAAAGUCAGGUUAAGUGGAAAACGAUGUGAAGAUACGUAGACAACCAGGAUGUUGGCUCAGAAGCAGCCACACAUUCAAAGAGUGCGUAAUAGCUCACUGGUCGAGCGUCUUUGCGCGGAGAAUUUAACGGGGCUAAACCUGACACCGAAGCUUAGGCAAUACAGCAAUGUAUUGGGUAGGGGAGCGUUGUAUACGCGGUGAAACAGUAGCGCAAGCGGCUGUGGAGUGUAUAGAAGUGAGAAUGCCGGAAUGAGUAGCGCGAAUGCAGUGAGAAUCUGCAUGGCCGAAAGCCUCAGGUUUCUGGAGGAAGGUUCGUCCGCUCCAGGUUAGUCGGGAGCUAAGGUGAGGCCUAACGGCGUAGCCGAUGCACAGACGGUAGAGAUUCCGUCACCACCAAAAGAGUUAAACACAGGGACACAUUUGAAGUCUCGGAGCCGGGUGUUGGUUCCGGUAGCGAUCGAGGGAAGUUAGUACCGAAGUCCGGGAUGGAAGAUGGCGAGAAAAGCUGUGUGUAUUUCUGCGGUGCCCGUACCGCAAACCGACACAGGUAGGUAGGAAGAAGAUUCUAAGGCCAACGGGAGAAGGGUUGUUAAGGAACUCGGCAAAUUGACCCCGUAACUUCGGGAGAAGGGGUGCUCCAGAGAUGGAGCCGCAGAGAAUCGGCCCAAGCAACUGUUUACCAAAAACACAGGUUUGUGCUAAAUCGAAAGAUGACGUAUACGAGCUGACGCCUGCCCGGUGCUGGAAGGUUAAGAGGAGAUGUGCAAGCAUUGAAUCGAAGCCCCAGUGAACGGCGGCCGUAACUAUAACGGUCCUAAGGUAGCGAAAUUCCUUGUCAGGUAAGUUCUGACCCGCAUGAAAGGCGUAAUGAUUUGGGCACUGUCUCGACAGCCCGCCCGGCGAAAUUGUAGUACCGGUGAAGAUGCCGGUUACCCGCGACAAGACGGAAAGACCCCAUGGAGCUUUACUGUAGCCUAAUAUUGGGUUUCGAUGUUGCAUGCACAGGAUAGAUGGGACACAGGGAAACAAGUGCUUUGGCAUUUGUGGAGUGGCCGUUGGGAUACCAUCCUUGCGAUAUUGGAAUUCUAACCUGCGCCUUUGAAUCAAGGCGGGGGACAUUGUUAGGUGGGCAGUUUGACUGGGGCGGUCGCCUCCUAAAGAGUAACGGAGGCGUUCAAAGGUUCGCUCAGCUUGAACGGAAAUCAAGCAAAAGAGUGCAAACGCAGAAGCGAGCCUAACUGCGAGACUGACGGGUCGAGCAGUAACGAAAGUUGGAGUUAGUGAUCCGGUGGUAUGUGAGUGGAAAUGCCAUCGCUCAACGGAUAAAAGUUACCCUGGGGAUAACAGGCUGAUCUCCCCCAAGAGUCCACAUCGACGGGGAGGUUUGGCACCUCGAUGUCGGCUCAUCGCAUCCUGGGGCUGUAUUCGGUCCCAAGGGUUUGGCUGUUCGCCAAUUAAAGCGGUACGCGAGCUGGGUUCAGAACGUCGUGAGACAGUUCGGUCCCUAUCUGUCGUGGGCGCAGGAUAUUUGAUGGGAGCUGUUCCUAGUACGAGAGGACCGGAGCGGACGUACCUCUGGCGCACCAGUUGUUCUGCCAAGGGCAUAGCUGGGCAACUAUGUACGGAUCGGAUAAACGCUGAAAGCAUCUAAGCGUGAAGCCGACCCAAAGAUAAGAUAUCCCAUUGUUUCAAACAAGUAAGACCCCUUGAAGACUACAAGGUUGAUAGGCACGAUGUGUAAGUGGAGUGAUCCAUUCAGCAAGCGUGUACUAAUAGGUCGAGGGCUUGACCACAA